GGGUCGUAACAAGGUCUCCGUAGGUGAACCUGCGGAGGGAUCAUUACAGAGUUCUCGCCCUCGCGGGUAGAUCUCCCACCCACUGUUAUCGUUACUGUGUUGCUUUGGCGGGCCGCCGGGCCCCGCUCGGCCGCCGGCUCCGGCUGGCGCGCGCCCGCCAGAGGCCCAGCAAACUCUGAAUGUUAGUGUCGUCUGAGUACUAUAUAAUAGUUAAAACUUUCAACAACGGAUCUCUUGGUUCUG
rnacentral:misc_RNA from 1 species